rnacentral:tRNA from 2 species
AUUUAUAUAGUAUAAAUAAUACAAUUGAUUUCCAAUCAAAAAAUCUAAAAUAUUUUAGUAUAAAUA